rnacentral:rRNA from 1 species
AACGCUAGCUACAGGCUUAACACAUGCAAGUCGAGGGGUAACAAGAGAAAAGCUUGCUUUUCUUGUUGACGACCGGCGCACGGGUGAGUAACGCGUAUCCAACCUGCCUAUAACUAGGGAAUAACCUUGCGAAAGUAAGACUAAUACCCUAUGAUUUCCUUUGAUGGCAUCAGAUUAGGAAUAAAGAUUUAUCGGUUAUAGAUGGGGAUGCGUCUGAUUAGCUUGUUGGCGGGGUAACGGCCCACCAAGGCAACGAUCAGUAGGGGUUCUGAGAGGAAGGUCCCCCACAUUGGAACUGAGACACGGUCCAAACUCCUACGGGAGGCAGCAGUGAGGAAUAUUGGUCAAUGGGCGGAAGCCUGAACCAGCCAAGUAGCGUGCAGGAUGACGGCCCUAUGGGUUGUAAACUGCUUUUAUACAGGAAUAAAGUUAGCCACGUGUGGUUAUUUGUAGGUACUGUAUGAAUAAGGACCGGCUAAUUCCGUGCCAGCAGCCGCGGUAAUACGGAAGGUUCAGGCGUUAUCCGGAUUUAUUGGGUUUAAAGGGAGCGUAGGCCGUCUGUUAAGCGUGUUGUGAAAUGUAGAUGCUCAACAUCUGAAUUGCAGCGCGAACUGGCAGACUUGAGUGUGCGCAACGUAGGCGGAAUUCGUGGUGUAGCGGUGAAAUGCUUAGAUAUCACGAAGAACUCCGAUUG